rnacentral:rRNA from 1 species
UACGGGGGGGGGCAAGCGUUGUUCGGAAUUACUGGGCGUAAAGGGCUCGUAGGUGGCCAACUAAGUCAGACGUGAAAUCCCUCGGCUUAACCGGGGAACUGCGUCUGAUACUGGAUGGCUUGAGUUUGGGAGAGGGACGCGGAAUUCCAGGUGUAGCGGUGAAAUGCGCAGAUAUCAGGAGGAACACCGGUGGCGAAGGCGGGUCUCUGGGCCGAUACUGACGCUGAGGAGCGAAAGCGUGGGGAGCGAACAGG